rnacentral:rRNA from 1 species
GUGAACCUGCGGAGGGAUCAUUAGCGAGUUAAUUACAAACUCCAAAACCCCCUGUGAACUUACCUAUGUUGCCUUGGCAGGUCGUGGUGUGUAGCGUGAUCGCUAUAAGGGAUCACCGCCUCGCACCACGCUGAAAGACCUGUCAAAGGACCCCUAAACUCUGUCUUACAACUGUAUCUCUGAGUCUAUUAUAUAAACAAGUUAAAACUUUCAACAACGGAUCUCUUGGCUCUGGCAUCGAUGAAGAACGCAGCGAAAUGCGAUAAGUAAUGUGAAUUGCAGAAUUCAGUGAAUCAUCGAAUCUUUGAACGCACAUUGCGCCUGAUAGUAUUCUGUCAGGCAUGCCUGUUCGAGCGUCAUUUCAACCCCCAAGCCCUAAUCUGCUUGACGUUGGGAGUUUACGGAGACGUAAUUCCUCAAAUAUAGUGGCGGAGCUAGGUCGUGCUCUAAGCGUAGUAACCACACUCUCGCUUCUGCAGCCGGCCUAGGUCUUGCCGUAAAACCCCUAUAUUUAUUUUUUUACUGGUUGACCUCGGAUCAGGUAGGAAUACCCGCUGAACUUAAGCAUAUCAAUAAGCCGGAGGAA